rnacentral:rRNA from 1 species
CCCUUAGAUGUUCUGGGCCGCACGCGCGCUACACUGACGAAGUCAGCGAGCAUGUCCUACGCCGACAGGUGCGGGGAAUCUUGUCAAACUUCGUCGUGAUGGGGAUUGAUUAUUGAAAUUCUUGAUCAUCAACGAGGAAUUCCUAGUAAGCGCAAGUCAGCAGCUUGCGUUGAUUACGUCCCUGCCCUUUGUACACACCGCCCGUCGCUACUACCGAUUGAAUGGUUUAGUGAGAUCUUCGGAUUGGCGCCACUUCGGCUCAGCAAUGGGCUCGGUGGAUGCCGAAAAGUUGAUCAAACUUGAUCAUUUAGAGGAAGUAAAAGUCGUAACA